rnacentral:rRNA from 1 species
GUAGGGUGACCUGCGGAAGGAUCAUUA